GACACUUUAAUGGAUAUGUGACACCUUAGAUAGUUUCAACUGGUACCUAUUCUUUAAAGGAAGAUGCUAUAUCCUUUGUUCAUAAAAUACCUUGUGUAUCGGAAGAAUCAGCCAUGAGGUUUCUGGUGGGAUUUCUGUGCCUGGCGGUCAUAUGUUCAAGUGCUGUUGCCCAGAACAAGAAAGUCAAAUGCAAUCUCUACAUGCUGAAGCGGUCUUUGGUACACUACAUAUCUAGAGACAUAACCGGGACAAGGGUAAUGCCUUGUCCAUCAGGGACAAUCUUCAGCGAAGGGCAUUGCGCAUGCGUAAGCCUGACAAACGGGUGUGACAUGAGACCCUACAGCGGCCGGAGGUAUAAACACUGGAUCCAUGGCCAGUGGAGGACCCGGUACUGUCCAGCAGGGACCACACUCAACCAGAAGAAGUGUGUCUGUGAUCAUGCCUGAAUAAAACAUGUGUCCGUUGUCA